UUAUUAUCGAGUUGAAUACCUGCAUCUGUGUGGGUAUUGUGAUUCUGACUCUGAAUAGGAAGAUCUGAUGCCUUUUUCUUUUCAGUUUUACAGGUUUUGUUUUAUUUCAGAUUUUCAUUGAUUUUUUUUAGGUUUCGUGAUUUAUUGGCCAGUGAUGACAGUUUAUAAAAUGGUUGACUGAAAAGCAAGUUUUUAAGCUUGCAAAGUUGCUGAAAAUCAUGAACUAGGACGGUCUGAGGCUAUUCUGAUUUUGGGUUUUUGCAAAGCUUGAAUCUUUUUAAUGUUUUUUUUGGUCAUGUGGGUUGUGUAUGAUGAUAUCAUAUGUUCAAUACAGUUAUCCCUGUCUGAUAAUUCUUGAUGUAUUACAUUUGAUCUGACUCAUACCCUUAUGAUAUUUUAUAUGUGCAGGAAUUGUGUCUGUGUGAGUUUUUUUUUACAGUUUUAAUCUUUUAUAAGUUUUAAUUAUUUCUGUUAUGUGGGUUGUGUAUGAUGAGAUCUUAUGUCUAAAACAGUUAUCCCUGUCUGAUAAAUCUUGAUGUUUGCAUUUGUUCUGACUCAGAC
rnacentral:lncRNA from 1 species